AUACUUUGUUAGCUGCGGGCCCAUGAUCAUGUACUCAGUAGCCUGGAUUUGAGUUUAUUAUGCAAAUUGUGUUGCCUAGCAUUAGGUGAAGGGCUGUUUAAGGUGCCACCCCGAAGGACAGCGCCAAUAGCUUCACUUCAUACAUUUGCGAGCUUGGCGUUUUUCUGAAUAGCUUUUUAUGAAUUAGUACUUAUUUUGUUGAAGCUUCCUUACUAUCCCCCCUUAUAGGAGGUAAUAUGUCUC